rnacentral:rRNA from 1 species
ACACGACUACAUUAGAUACCCUGUAGUCCUAGCCGUAAACGAUACUCGCUAGGUGUCGGCCACAGUGCGACCGUUGUCGGUGCCGUAGGGAAGCCGUGAAGCGAGCCACCUGGGAAGUACGGCCGCAAGGCUGAAACUUAAAGGAAUUGGCGGGGGAGCACCACAACGGGUGGAGCUUGCGGUUUAAUUGGAUUCAACGCCGGAAAUCUUACCGGGACCGACAGCAACAUGAAGGCCAGGCUGAAGACUUUGCCGGAUUAGCUG